GUGAGGAAUUUUCCGCAAUGGGCGAAAGCCUGACGGAGCAAUGCCGCGUGAAGGAUGAAGGCCUAUGGGUUGUAAACUUCUUUUCUCAGAAAAGAAUUAUGACGGUAUCUGAGGAAUAAGCAUCGGCUAACUCUGUGCCAGCAGCCGCGGUAAGACAGAGGAUGCAAGCGUUAUCCGGAAUGAUUGGGCGUAAAGCGUCUGUAGGUUGUUUAAAAAGUAUUCUGUCAAAGAUUAGGGCUUAACCCUAGAUAGGCAGAAUAAACUUUUAAGCUAGAGUUUGGUAGAGGCAGAGGGAAUUCCCGGUGGAGCGGUGAAAUGCGUAGAUAUCGGGAGGAACACCAAAGGCGAAGGCACUCUGCUGGGCCAAUACUAACACUGAGAGACGAAAGCGAGGGGAGCAAAAGGGAUUAGAUACCCCUGUAGUCC
rnacentral:rRNA from 1 species